rnacentral:piRNA from 1 species
UAGCGAUAAAAAGGGGGAACAAUUGG